rnacentral:lncRNA from 1 species
GCCUUCUCUCUGGCUGCAGGUGGUAUUGCUCCAUAUGCCUGAGACCCUAACAAAAGCCUAAUUACAACUCAUAUGCCUGGAGCCAGGACAUGUGCAGGAUGGUGAUGUAACUUUCCUCUCUGGAAUGGGUCCUGCACAAAGGAAUGAUAGUAACAUAUUGCAAAGCCAGACACACAGCCAUGAUGGUCCAAGUUAUAUUGGGAUUCAGCCAAUAGAAGAUAUUUUGCCUGUCAUCCCUAAGCUUAGGACAAUAGGAACAUUGUGACAUUGCUGGACGUAGCAUCUAGGAAAUGUACUCUCCUCUCCUGCCUAGGCCCUGCCCACUAAAGGAAUUGUGACAUACCACUGAGUGCAAAACCUAGGGUCCUGCCCACAAGAAAGAUUGUGACAUCUCACUGGACAAGCACCCACCCAGACUCUGCCAAGAGAGGGGAUUAUUACAUAUUGCAGAGCCCAGCACCUAGGUGGAGUGACUCUCAUCUUUUUCUUCUACCCCGUAUAUAGCCAGCUUGGUGACCUACUAUUUGAGUCUAUACCCAGGCCCAGACCACAGAUGAAAUUGUGCAAUAUGUGGAACAAACACCUAAACAAUAUAUAACACCUUCCUUGGCUCUGUCUACAAAGGGCACUUUUAUAUAUCACUGGGACCAUCAACCAGGUGAUGUUAAUUAUCUUCCUGAAACCUGUCUACAAAGAGAGUUGUGUCGUAUACCUAGGCCCGUCAUGUAAGUGAUGUCAGUCCCUUCUACUGCCUUGGCCCUGCACUUACAGUGCAUUGUGACACAUAACAAGGUACUGCACACAGACGAUGUGAUUCUCCUUUUUGGGUUCUGCCAAAAGGAAGCAUUGUAAUAAAUCGCUUGGCUCAG